UGGGGAAUUUUGUACAAUGGGGGAAACCCUGAUGCAGCGACGCCGCGUGAUUUAGAAGGCCUUCGGGUUGUCAAAAUCUUUUGUAUGGGAAGAAAAUGACAGUACCAUACGAAUACGGACCGGCUAAUUACGUGCCAGCAGCCGCGGUAAUACGUAAGGUCCGAGCGUUGUCCGGAAUCAUUGGGCGUAAAGGGUACGUAGGCGGAUAAGCAAGUUAGAAGUGAAAUCCUAUAUCUCAACUAUAGUAAGCUUUUAAAACUGCUCAUCUUGAGGUAUGGAAGGGAAAGUUGAAUUCCUAGUGUAGCGGUAAAAUGCGCAGAUAUUAGGAGGAAUACCGGUGGCGAAGGCGACUUUCUGGCCAUAUACUGACGCUGAGGUACGAAAGCGUGGGUAGCAAACAGG
rnacentral:rRNA from 1 species